UACGUAGGGGGCAAGCGUUAUUCGGAAUUAUUGGGCGUAAAGGGCGCGUAGGCGGCUAGAUGUGUCAAAGGUGAAAUCCCUCGGCUCAACUGAGGAACUGCCUUUGAAACUGUCUGGCUUGAGGCCGGGAGAGGGUAGCGGAAUUCCCAGUGUAGCGGUGAAAUGCGUAGAUAUUGGGAAGAACACCAGCGGCGAAAGCGCGCUACUGGGCCAUUACUGACACUCAUGGACGAAAGCUAGGGGAGCGAAAGGG
rnacentral:rRNA from 1 species